GGUGAACGCUGGCGGUAGGCUUAACACAUGCAAGUCGAACGUUAGCACAGUAUGAUUUUGCUCUUACUUGUUGCGAUUGGCGGACGGGUGAGGAAUACAUUUGAAUCUGCUUUUUCGUGGGGGCUAACGUAGGGAGACUUACGCUAAUACCGCAUACGACCUACCGCUGUAAUCAGCGGAUCUUCGGACCUUGCGUGAAUGAAUGAGCCGAUGUCGGAGUAGCUAGUUGGCGGGGUAAAGGCCCACCAAGGCGACGAUCUGUAGCUGGUCUGAGAGUAUGAUGAGCCAAAAUAGAGCUGCGGCACGGUCCAGCCUCCUACGCGAGGCUGCAGUGCCGAAUAUUCGACAAAGGACGGAAGUCUUAUCCUGCCGUACCGCGUGGGUGAAGAAGCCCUUCGCGUUGUAAAGCCCUUUUGUUUCGAAAGAAAAGCAGCAGGUUAAUCCCCCGCUGUUCUGACGGUACCCACCGAAUAAGCACCGGCUACCUUCGUG
rnacentral:rRNA from 1 species